rnacentral:rRNA from 1 species
GAUCCUGGCUCAGGAUGAACGCUGGCGGCGUGCUUAACACAUGCAAGUCGAGCGAAGCACUUAAGUUUGAUUCUUCGGAUGAAGACUUUUGUGACUGAGCGGCGACGGGUGAGCAACGCGUGGGUAACCUGCCUCAUACAGGGGGAUAACAGUUAGAAAUGGCUGCUAAUACCGCAUAAGACCACAGUACCGCAUGGUACAGUGGUAAAAACUCCGGUGGUAUGAGAUGGACCCGCGU